rnacentral:rRNA from 1 species
GAUGAACGCUGGCGGCGUGCCUAAUACAUGCAAGUCGAGCGAACGGACGAGAAGCUUGCUUCUCUGAUGUUAGCGGCGGACGGGUGAGUAACACGUGGAUAACCUACCUAUAAGACUGGGAUAACUUCGGGAAACCGGAGCUAAUACCGGAUAAUAUUUUGAACCGCAUGGUUCAAAAGUGAAAGACGGUCUUGCUGUCACUUAUAGAUGGAUCCGCGCUGCAUUAGCUAGUUGGUAAGGUAACGGCUUACCAAGGCAACGAUGCAUAGCCGACCUGAGAGGGUGAUCGGCCACACUGGAACUGAGACACGGUCCAGACUCCUACGGGAGGCAGCAGUAGGGAAUCUUCCGCAGUGGGCGAAAGCCUGACGGAGCAACGCCGCGUGAGUGAGGAAGGUCUUCGGAUCGUAAAACUCUGUUAUUAGGGAAGAACAUAUGUGUAAGUAACUGUGCACAUCUUGACGGUACCUAAUCAGAAAGCCACGGCUAACUACGU